rnacentral:sRNA from 2 species
UGUGCGCGAUCGCCCCUUUGUGCAGCACACCAGAAGCGGAGGAACCAUCCUUUGGGGCGUAUCUUUCGUGCGGUAGAAGGCAGCUUUUUGAGCUGCCGCGUAUAGUGAAGCUGGCUUUGUCCAGAUUUUAUGACAUUGGCUCUACCGUACUCAAUGAGGGGCACCUCUCAGCCCUAGCCCGUCAGCUAACUCCGUCGGCUUUGGGAGGAGACUGA